rnacentral:sRNA from 1 species
GGCCUAAACCCGGUUUUGCCGGGCAUGGCUCAAAAACCCAUCGCUGAUACUGAACCCCGUGUUCAGCAACUCAGCGAUGGGCUAUAUCGGGAAACCGGUAUAGGGCCGCAAGGCCU